AAUCAACGCUGGCGGCGUGCCUCAGACAUGCAAGUCGAACGCGAAAGUUUCCUUCGGGGGAUGAGUAGAGUGGCGCACGGGUGAGUAACACGUAGGUAAUCUACCUUUGGAUGGGGAAUAACAAUCGGAAACGGUUGCUAAUACCGCAUAAUGCAGCGGCACCUAAUGGUGACAGUUGUUAAAGCGGGGGAUCGAAAGACCUCGCGCCUGAAGAGGAGCCUGCGGCGGAUAGCUAGUUGGUAAGGUAACGGCUUACCAAGGCGACGAUCCGUAGCCGGCCUGAGAGGGCGGGUCGGCCACACUGACACUGACAUACGGGUCAGACUCCUACGGGAGGCAGCAGUCGGGAAUUUUGGGCAAUGGGCGAAAGCCUGACCCAGCAACGCCGCGUGAAGGAUGAAAUCCC
rnacentral:rRNA from 1 species